AUGAUAGUGAUCUUUUCUAGUACGAAAGGACCGAAAAGGAAAGGCCACUGCCAAAGGCACGCCUUACCCCCACCUGCUGAAAACAACUAAAGCAGGCAAAAGGGCACACCCCUCUGCCUGAGAGAACGGCUA
rnacentral:rRNA from 1 species